AGUGAACGCUGGCGGUAGGCCUAACACAUGCAAGUCGAACGGCAGCACAGUAAGAGCUUGCUCUUACGGGUGGCGAGUGGCGGAUGGGUGAGGAAUACAUCGGAAUCUACUUUUUCGUGGGGGAUAACGUAGGGAAACUUACGCUAAUACCGCAUACGACCUACGGGUGAAAGCAGGGGAUCUUCGGACCUUGCGCGAUUGAAUGAGCCGAUGUCGGAUUAGCUGGUUGGCGGGGUAAAGGCCCACCAAGGCGACGAUCCGUAGCUGGUCUGAGAGGAUGAUCAGCCACACUGGAACUGAGACACGGUCCAGACUCCUACGGGAGGCAGCAGUGGGGAAUAUUGGACAAUGGGCGCAAGCCUGAUCCAGCCAUACCGCGUGGGUGAAGAAGGCCUUCGGGUUGUAAAGCCCUUUUGUUGGGAAAGAAAAGCAGCAGGUUAAUACCCCGCUGUUCUGACGGUACCCAAAGAAUAAGCACCGGCUAACUUCGUG
rnacentral:rRNA from 1 species